GAUGAAGAACGUAGCGAAAUGCGAUAAGUAAUGUGAAUUGCAGAAUUCAGUGAAUCAUCGAAUCUUUGAACGCACCUUGCGCCCUUAGGCCAUUCCGAAGGGCAUGCCUGUUUGAGUAUCAUGAACACCUCAACUCUUUAUGGUUUUCCAUGAUGAGCUUGGACUCUGGGGGUUUUGCUGGCUCACAGUCGGCUCCUCUAAAAUGAAUCAGCUUACCAGUGUUUGGUGGGUAUCAUGGGUGUGAUAACUAUCUACGCUUGUGGUUUUUCCACCAGGUAACCUUCAGCAGUGGAGGUUCGCUGGAGCUCAUAGAUGUCUCUCCUCAGUGAGGACAGCCCUUUGAAUGUUUGAUCUCAAAUCAGGUAGGACUACCCGCUGAACUUAAGCAUAUCAAUAAGCGGAGGA
rnacentral:misc_RNA from 1 species